AGCAGCCCACCCACACCAACGCACGGCUCCUCACCUGCGGGGCCCUGCAGCGUCAGGCCUCCGGAGGGGGCUGCGAGUGUCUGUCCGACCUCCGCACGUGUCCACAGCGGCGCCAAGCAGGUAAUACUUGAAUCUCCGCUGCACACAUGGCCUAACAAUUGUGUUGGCAUAACUGCCUUUGGUUGAGCUGAAAGUUUACUUAUUUUGAGAGAGAGAAAGCACAAGCAGCAGAGGGGCACAGAGGAGCAAAGACAGAAUCCCAAGCAAGCUCUGCACCAUCAGGACAGAGCCCGAUGUGGGGCUCAAACCCAUGAACCAUGAGAUCACCACCUGAGCUGAGAUGAAGAGUUGGACAGUUAAUGACUGCGCCACCCAGGAACCCCUCAGUAUAGGUGCUGCCAAAGGGAGCAUGGUCCUAUUCUCUUUUUAAUUCCCUGCCAUCGGAUUUCUGCCCCCACCCUACUGCUGUCACCAAGGUGGGUAAGAACAUUGAGUUACCACUCCAUGGACACUAUCCUACUAGCCUCUCUUCUCCAUUUGCCACUAACUGUUACUAUCUCCAGACGGAAAGUCUUCUUCUCUUCUGAGUUCUGCCUCACUUCCUCUCCUGGUCAUCCUCAUGUAUCCUUCUAAGUGUUUUGCCUCUUCCCUUAUUUUUUUGUCCCUCGGUCCAGCCCUUAGAAGUUGGGGUUCCCUAGGGUUUCUUUCUCACUUGUUUCUUCUCCUUCCGCUAGUCCCCUUCACCCUUAGGCAAUCUCAUGCUUUGGCUUGAUUUCUCCUCCAUCAGUAGAUCUGUAUCUCCAACUACUCAAAGGAAUUCCCUUUGAAGCACCUAAAAAUUCAACAUCUGGUGAAGAAUUGAAAUGACACUAUCCCUACAAUUUGUUCACAGAAAUGUCUUCUCCCUUUCUCCCUAGCUCAGCCAAAAAAAAACCCUGUCAUUCUCCCAGAGUGAACUGUGACCUUCCUCUAAAUUCCUUACUUCCUUUCAGUUCUACCUCUUGAGAAACCUUCUCCUGCCCCUUCAUUUUUCAUUCCACUGCUUCAGUCUAGAUCAGAGCUCAUCACCUCACACCUGGAAGGUCACAUCCAGGUGACCUUAGUCAUAUUUAUACAGCUUUUCCUUAGUCAUAUUUAUACAACUAGAUCUGAUCACGUCACUACCAGGAUCAAAAACUUUCUUCAAUUUCCAUCUGCCUACAGGAUAUACUUUAGCCCAACCUCCUUUGUGCAGCAUAAGAUUCCCUUCAGAAUAUAGCCAAGUCUGAUUUUCUAAUUACUCUCUGGUCUUCCACUGCCAUAUGCCUUUACACACUCCAGAAUGUUCCUCAUUUGUGCCUUCAUACUUAAGAUCAAGGUGCUCCUUUUCCCUAGAAUGCUCAUGUUUCUUCUCUCCUCUUCUGUCUGGCAAAUCUCGAUUCUACUUUUAUGUGGAGUUGCAGUGUCACCUCCUUUCUAUUACACUCAUCUUUGCUGACUGCAGCCUCCACCCCAUUCCCACUGCUGUCACAAAACUAAUUCUUAUGUUGGGGUUCCAUAGCAUUUUAUGUCUGCUUCCACUUAAAGUCCUUCCCUCAUUGUCUUAUAGCUAUUUUUCUGUUACUCUCUCUCCCCUACUGGGCUACUAGCUCUUCUAAAGCCAUGUUCACCUUUCCUGCUAUGCCAAAGAUGCUCACCUUGUCCUCAAGAUGAAACAGAAAGCCUUAGCUGAGUGCCUCAGGCAGCAUUAGUGGUCCUCUGUCCUGCCACAAUUUUCUAUUCAUGUACUCUAUUACAGCACUAUUAUAUUGAAAUUGUACGUGUACUUUCCAUUUCUUCCAUUAGACUGAGAGUAUGUCAAAGCAAGGACCUCAUCUUAUUCAUCAUUGCCAUCCAAAUGGUUAGCACAGUGCCCAGAACACAAUAGGUACCAAAUAAAUGUUUGUUAAAUCAUCUG